AAUUAAAUUGGACUGCAGAUAUCACACCAAUUUAACUUGGUUUAUUCAAUUGAACAGGUAACUUAGAUUCUUCUAAUACUAUAUUUGAUUUGUUUCACACUUUGAUUAAUGCUUAAUUAGAGUGUUUAUUGAUAUAGUUGUUCUCUUAUACAAUUGUUUACUACUUUGUUCCUUCCAUAAGAAAUUUAACUUGUAAGGGGCUAAGGGCCAAAGUAAGUCAUUUGGACAUGUGAUCAUCCAUGGCUAUUGUAUCAGCAUGGUACUGAGAGAGCUAAGGUUCAACUUACCCAUUGUUUUAUAUGUGGACUGUGAUGCUUAAGUGCUUAACAGCUUAAGAAUAUAUUCAAGCAGCAGAAAAUGUAACCCCUACAACUAAUUUGCCUGAUAUGUACAAUUAUAAAUGGAAAGUGGGCAGUAGAUGUAUUGACCUCUGUAUCACCUUGUUGGAACCCAAAUUUACCAGGUCCAUCUGUAGUACCGGCAGCAAAACCUGCACCUAGUGCUGCAGGACAUGUCUUCACUACAGUAUUGAUGUCUAACUGCACGUCAAGGUUUGUCAAAUUCAGAUAGACAUGACGAUAAUCGAUUUUCCCUGUGAGUUCUUCUUUAGCAGAUGAAAACAGGUCGAUUGCUUUCUUGAACUGUCUCUCCCCUAUGAUCUGUGUGCUUAGUAUCUCUUCUAAAUGUCAAGGGCAAAAUUACAUAGGUGACACGCUUUCGCCUUCAAUACUUCAGGUUAUCCAGAUUGUUAUCCUGAGUUUUUCUGGUUCACAGAUGAGUCCGCGGUUUCUGAAUGAAAUAAAGCUUUGUGAUGUGUUUGUUAUUAAACCUUCACUUCACAAUUUUUGUUGCUUUUCUGCAUUAGUCCAUAUAUUUAGAAUGAGAUUUCUUUUAUGUUUUUUCACGCAGAUUAGCAACUAAAAUAAAUUACAUUCCCUAUUCCUUUUAUGUUAUAUGUGAUGACUACUCCUGGAUGAUCUCCUUCGAAACUCCAUUACCAGCUUUGAGAAUACAGAGGAGUUGUCCUUUAGUAACUCCAUAGGGGAGUCAUACUCAACAAUAUUUCCUGCAAAAUCCGAAUUAUGAAAAACGAAAAAGUUAGAAAAUAUUUGAGGAGUAUAUAUGAUUUAUAAACCAUGGUUAAAAAACAUGAUGUCACGUCUUUGCUCGACUAUUUAAUGCAAACACGGUUAACUCAUAGUUGAUUGCUUUCUUUCCCAUACCUUCAUCAAGCACCAGGACCAGGUCAUUGUCAAUCACUGUAGGUAUCGAUGGGCGACAGUUAUAACAGUACAGUUACUAGUUUCUUGUCGUAUAGUUUUCUGUAUAACAUUAUCUGUAGCUGUAUCCACAGAAGCCGUAGCCUCAUCCAACACCAAAAUUCUUCUUUUAUUCAGCAACACUCUAGCAAGGCAAACCAACUGCCUUUCUCCCACACUCCAGUUCUCUCCGUUUUCCGCAACUGUACAAUUUAUCAACAUUUUUCAACAAACAACAUGGGAUAAAUCAUGGUACGAAACACUUACAUCAUAUACAUAUAUAUAAACUAAAAUACCUGGCGCAUCAAGAAGCCUCUGGUCCUGUCUUACUAUGUUCCCCAGGUGACAUUUAUUCAGUACCUGAAAUGUCAGAAUGUUUCAAGUGAACCAAACUUUUCACUCUUUUUCGAAGGAAAAAAGGAUUCAUUUGCAAGAUUUACCUCCCACAUAUCAAAAUCAGAAUGUUGCGUUAGAGGAUCUAGAUUAGUUCUCAGGGUUCCUUGAAAUAGAGUAGGGUCUUGAGGAAUUAUGCUCAAUCUAGACCUCAAGUCCUGCAAACCCAUUUUACUAAUGUCGACUCCGUCGAUCAAAAUCCUACCAUCCGAGGGCUCCACUACCCUGAAUAGAGCUUGGAUAAGAGUGGAUUUGCCACUGCCUGUCCUGCCAACAACUCCAAUAUUUUUCUUUCCCUGAAUCAUGCAAGUGAUUCCUUUGAGAAUCAUGGGAAGUGACGGGCUGUAUUGAAUGUGGAGAUUUUCAAUAUUGAUAGUUCCAUUAGUUGGCCAGUCUGGAUGUGGUAUGCAUCCUUCAAUCUGUAAAGGAGGUUCACUUGGUAUAUUUGAGAACUGAAGAAUUCUCUCUACUGAUAUCAUCUUGUUCUCAACGUUGCAAAGGUUCCAUAUCACCCAAGCCUGUAGAACAUAUAGGCUCAAGCCAUAGGUAGCAGCAAGUCCUGCCAUGCCUGCAUUUAAAAGUCAGUGUGUCAUUUAGAUGUGAGUAGUCAGUUGAAGUUAGUAGAUCACAUUGAUGUUAAGUGAUUCAUUUAGAUGUAAGAAGUCAAGGAACAGAGGACUGGUUGAUUCUUUGGAAAGUUAAAGUUGAUACCCUGGUCCACGACCCACGCAGAGUAGGGUAUUUCCAUUACAACUAGAAUGGUUGAAAUCGCAUGGUUUUCCAGUAUCAGUACAGAAAGCUCCAAGCACAUUGGGGCUCACAUCUCCUACAUUAGAUUGGCAGAAUGCCCCCACAAACAAUGAGCCAUCAUUCUUUCUCACUUUGGAAGCUUUACUACUACUUUUUCCACAGGUUUUCCCACCACUAGCUUCGAUUUUUCCUGCUAUUUGGACCAAUGUACUAUCUGUGAUCAUCAAAUGUUUUAGAAUUUAGACGACAUAAAUCGGUAUAAUUGGAUAUAUAGAAAAUCAACAUAAUUUUACUAUAUAUUGACUUACUAGAUACUGUGUUGUUGAUUAUAGUUCCUGUUUUUGUUGUUGGGUUGGAAGAUGUAAACCAGUCUUCAAAGAAUCUAGCAGCAGCACCUUUGUUGUCUCCACUGAUGAGUUUGUUGUUUUUGCUCAUGGAAGUUCCAUGUGUUGCAAACCAAUUAAAAGCUCCUAUACUCUUCCCAGUGUUGUCACUGGGAAGAGUAUAUCACUGAUUUCUCCUUAUACCCAGCUGUGUAAGCUACCAUCACUUCACCGUUAGAAUUUCUAAUAAGACCUCCAAGUCCUCCUCUUAGCUGUUGUACUAAUUUAUUUAUUCAAAUUUAUUUAUUCAAAUUUAAGGCAUUACUAUGUAUGCUAAUAGAUUUUUUCCCUUUAAUUUUCGUUGUUACCGUUAUAUUCCUCAUCUUAUAUUUGCUUCCUUUUGCAGACAAAGGCUGGUAGCAGUUGCCACACACAAACUACAUUCCAGAGGCUGCAAUUGAGGUGUUUCGGUAUGUUACCAACUUGUUUUAGUUCCAUGUCUAAUAUUUUUGUUUGCCAUAUUUUAUAGAUACUAAAUACCAUAUAUGUGCAUGUCCUAACUAAAUAAGGUUGUUUCCAACCCAUUGAAGACUCAUACCUAACAAUAUUUGGUCAAAUCUAUGUUUAAAUUUUUUUUAAUAUUUUAUUUUACGAAACGACUCAAGAUUUAAUGGCUGCGAUUUAGUAUGAUAUAUGAGUAGACAUGAUUUAAGGCUCCAUUCUUCGUGAGUCUACAUUUUAAUAUUUAUGUCUCUGAUAAUUAUAAUUGACUUUUAGCUCUAUGAGCUUGUUGUGUAUUUUGGAGAGAGCGGGUGACAGAGAGGAGUUUGGUUUGUCUAGCUUGUAGAGUUAAUGCACAACCAUGAAUUAAACAUGUAAAACAUGUAAGAAUAAUUAACUUACAGUGGAUAUAUAAGUUAAUUUUUUUUUUUCACGCUUCACAUGUUUCCAGCUUUGCAUGAUUGAUUGGUUGCAUUCUAGUACAUAGUUGAUUCUCUAGUUAGUUUUUGACUAUUCAUGGAAUACAUGUUUUAACUUUUCAGUAUGCUUCAUUUAAUUUUGUGUACUAGACAGUAAGAGAUGGAUUAAGGUUGGAUGCAUCCAACUAUAUCAAGAUGCAGUCGUGAGUAUAUACUAGGUUGCAAGGAGUUCUUGAAAUUUGCAUGGGAAAAUCGGCCCAAAGAAUUCGGUGAUGAGAUUUAUUGUCCAUGUGUUCGAUGCAUUAAUAAAGUAUUAAGGCCUAUGAAUAUAGUGGAGAACCAUAUAUUGGAGCGUGGUUUUUUACGAACUUAUGUUAAUUGGACUAUGCAUGGGGAAGUGGAAGUUGAAGAGAUUAAUUCUCACCACGCUGAAUCCAAUUAUAUUGAUGAUAUGCAUACGAUGUUGCAUGAUGCAUUUAGAGUCCCACACACGCCAAAUCAUCUUGGUCCGAGUGAGCCUGGUCCAAGUGAACCCAAUAAGGAAGCACAAAAAUUUUACAAAUUGUUGAAGGAAUCUAAUAUACCACUAAACCCAGAUUGCCCAAAAAAAUCCAAAUUAUCACAUCUUGUGAGGUUGCUUCACAUUAAGUGUCUUAGCCAAUGGAGUAACAAAUCAUUUGACAUGAUGCUUGAAGAGUUGAGUGAUAAUUAUUCAAAAGACCUCAAUAUGCCGAAGAAUUAUUAUGAAGCUAAAAAACAACUUCGUGACCUUGGUUUGGAUUACAUUAAGAUCGAUGCUUGUCCUAAUGAUUGCAUGCUGUAUUGGAAGGAUAGGAAGCGAGACGAGGAAAAGAACAAGUGUGAUAUAUGUGGUACGUCAAGGUGGAUUACAUCGUCAUCUGAUUGUAUCGAUGAGGGAACAAGUUCAUCAAGAAAACCAAAGAAAAAAGCUGCAAAAGUUCUGCGAUAUUUUCCUUUAACACCGAGACUUCAAAGAUUAUAUAUGUGUUCAAAAACAGCGAAAGACAUGAGAUGGCAUGAUGUUGGUCGUACUAAGGAUGGAGCUUUGAGGCAUCCUGCUGACUCGGAGGUAUGGAAAUGCUUGGACAAAAAGUAUCCAUCAUUUAGUUCAGAAAUUCGAAAUAUUAGGCUAGGUUUGGCUAGUGAUGGUUUCAAUCCUUUUAGCAGUAUGAGCACAACUCAUAGCACAUGGCCUGUUGUUCUUAUUCCAUACAAUUUGCCGCCAUGGAUGUGUAUGAAACAACCCUAUUUUAUGAUGUCAUUGCUUAUUCCUGAUCCUAGUAGUCCUGGGAACAACAUUGACGUGUACUUACGACCAUUAGUUGAAGAGUUGAAGGAGUUGUGGGCUGAAGGUGUUGGGACUUAUGAUGCUCAUUUGAAACAAAAUUUUCAGAUGCAUGCAGCUUUACUGUGGACUAUUAAUGAUUUUCCAGCCUUAGCUAAUUUGUCCGGGUGGAGUACUAAAGGAAAUCUAGCAUGUCCCUUUUGCCAUAAGGACACUUGUUCUAAAAGAUUCCCUCUUGCCAUAAGGUCUUGUUAUAUGGGAAGUCGUCGUUUCUUACCCUUCGAUCAUCCAUACCGAAAGAAUAAGAAUGUUUUUGAUAACCAAACCGAAAUGGGGGAAGCUCCAAAACCUCUAAGUGGAGAUGAUAUACUUGAACAAUUAAGUGGUUAUAACCAAAUUACAUUUGGUAAGGCCGAGUUCGACCAAUAUGGAAGAAAGAGAAAGAACCCUGAAUUGCCAUAUAAUUGGAAGAAGAUUAGUAUUUUUUUUGAGCUCCCAUAUUGGAAAGAUCUUCCAUUACGACACAACUUGGAUGUAAUGCACAUUGAAAAGAACAAUGGUGAGAGUUGGCUUGGCACAUUGUUGAAUAUAGAGGGUAAAACAAAAGACAAUUUGAAGGCUCGACAAGAUUUAGUGUUGAUGGGCAUACGAAAAUCACUUCAUCCGGUAUCUAAGGGAGAAAACAAAUAUGAAUUGCCUGCUGCCCGUUACACCAUGUCUUUGGAUGAGAAAAGGAAACUUUGCAACUUUUUCAAGAGUAUAAAAGUUCCUGAUAAUUAUUCAUCGAAUAUAUCACGUCGUGUUCUAGUUCAACAAUGCAAAAUACCUGGUCGUAAAAGUCAUGAUUGGCAUGUUUUGAUACAAGAACUACUUCCAGUUGCAGCACGUGGAAUCUUAUCUAAGGAAGUGACAAUGGUCUUGGUUAAGUUAUCAAAUUUUUAUAAGCAGUUGUGUUCAAAAGUAUUGUGGGUUGAAGAAUUGGAACGCUUAGAAUAUCAGAUCGCUGUGACACUAUGCAAAAUGGAAAUGAUAUUUCCACCAUCAUUUUUUGAUGUUAUGGUGCAUUUGCCAAUUCAUUUAGCUGGUGAAGCCAAGCUUGCUGGACCAGUGUUUUAUAGGUGGAUGUAUCCUAUAGAAAGGUACUUGUUCACUCUAAAAAAGUAUGUGCGCAAUAAAAGUAGACCAGAGGGUUCCAUUGCUGAAGCAUACCUUGCUGAAGGAUGUUUGGCAUUCUGCUCACGGUACUUAGAUGAUGGGGUGGAAACGAAGUUCAACCGACCAGGGAGAAAUGAUGAUUGCGAAGAUACAGAAAUAAGUGAGAAACUUCCUGUAUUUGUAGGAAGUGGUCGUACUUUGGGGAAGGCAACGUUUCGAAUAUUAGCAGAUGAAGAGUGGGAACAAGCUCGUUUGUAUGUGUUGAGCAAUUGUGAUGAAGUAACACCAUUUAUUGAGUAAGAACUCUAUCUCAUAGUUUUCAGUUUUUCAUGAUAAGUUCAAAAAACAUGUAGUCACUUUAUAAUUAUAAUUAUGUAAUUGUAUAGGACCCACAUGUAGCAAGGUGCACCCCCAACCUUUGGAGAUUUCUUUAAGAGAACCCAUAUAAGUCGAAAAACAAAUGAGCCUCUUGAUGAGUUAUCAAGACAAUACAUUGUAUGUAAGCUUCAAUUCAAGUUUGACACCUAAUUUCAAUAUUAUAGUACUUGAUCAUUAUUUAUUACUUUUUUUUUUUUUUAAUAUAGGACAAAAUGACGGAGUUAGCGGGUAGAGAUGAGCAUGGAGCUGAACAAUCCAUCAGUGAUGACAUAUAUUAUCAAGUGAUGCCUCCAGACCGACAUGGACGUGUGCGACUAAUGGGAAGAGGUGUGACUCCGACAAGUUUUUUUGGGUCCCGAACAUCUUCAUCGAAUCAUAAUGGUGCCCAUCGUAUUGAACAAUUGGAGAAUGAACUGGCUGAGAUGAGAAAGAUAGGACAAGAAAGAGAAGAUGAAGUGCAACAUGAAAUUGUCGAGAUGAGAAGACAAACACAAGAAAGAGAAGAUGAAAUGCAACGUGAAAUUGUCGAGAUGAGAAGGCAAUGAGAAGGCAAGCACAAGAAAGAGAAGAUGAAAUGCAACGUGAAAUUGUCGAGAUGAGAAGGCAAGCACAAGAUAAGGAAGAGCAGAGACAACAGGAGUUUGAUCAAAUGAAAAGAAGCUUUAAGGAAAAAACAACAGAAAUCCAGAGAAACUUUGAUGAACAUACCACGGGAAUGGAAGAAAGAAUCUUACAAACACUGUUACAAAGAGCUCCCAAUCUUAACAAUGUAGGAAAAAGACUAGUAAGUACACUCCUAAACUUCCAUUUAUCUGAAAUGUUUGAAUACGUGCACUUUUCUUGCUCUCAUUAUCUUCCCUCCUCUUCUAGAUAUGAAAAUCCUCGGAAUUGCUUAGGUUCCUUUUAGAUCAUUUAACUUUAACACUAACUAAAAGAGUAGGCACAGGCUGCGAGCCUAUCACUGAAUUUUUUUAAUAAUACCACCAGUGUUGUUCUUUACCAAUUCGAUCUUAACUAGCAUUUGAUCUUGUGCAAUGACCUUACCGGCUGCAUUUUUUUCAUCAUUUUGGUGAUGGAUAAUCCAGUUUUUAUGAUGUGAUCCUACUUUUUGGAUCUGUGUACUGGUCAUACUCAUAUUUGAAUGGAAAAUAGUAGGCGACAAUUACAGGAUUAAUUAUAUCUAGUAUAAGGGGCUAACCUGUGUAAUUUAGAUGUGAUCUUAGACAUUUUUCAUGCUAAUUGGUGAUUUAUUUUGUUUGAUUUUAGUUAGUUGAAAGUUGCAUUAACAAUGUUAAAAAAGAUUUUCUUUUGAUUGCGUGAACAUUGUUUUGUUUUGUCGAUUGGGUCACUUUAUAUCCUAGUGUUAAGAAAGAUAGGAGCUUUGAAUUUUGGUUGAACAGAAACACUAGUAUUUACUCAAUAGUUGAGUUUUUGUUUGAGUACAAUAUAUAGGUAUUGGCUUUGUUGAACUUUAUUCAUUCAAUUCAGUUUCUUACACUAUUAUUAUUAUUAUUAUUUUCAGAGGAUUGCUUAAAGAUGAGAAUUGUUGAUGUGGGACUUGGAGGAGGAAGAGUAUAGCUGGUACCAAGUUAUGCACACUUUUGGAACUGUUGGUACUAAGUUAAUGGACACUUUUGUAACAUAUAGGAAUUAGAUGCAAAGCAUUUUGAGAUGUUUUUACUUUUUAGUUGGUAUUUUAUUGGAUCUGCA
rnacentral:lncRNA from 1 species